rnacentral:rRNA from 1 species
CCACACCUAAAAAACUUUCCACGUGAACCGUUUCAACCCAAUAGUUGGGGGUCUUAUUUGGCGGCGGCUGCUGGCUUAAUUGUUGGCGGCUGCUGCUGAGUGAGCCCUAUCAAAAAAAAAGGCGAACGUUUGGGCUUCGGCCUGAUUUAGUAGUCUUUUUUUUCUUUUAAACCCAUUCCUUAAUACUGAAUAUACUGUGGGGACGAAAGUCUCUGCUUUAAACUAGAUAGCAACUUUCAGCAGUGGAUGUCUAGGCUCGCACAUCGAUGAAGAACGCUGCGAACUGCGAUACGUAAUGCGAAUUGCAGGAUUCAGUGAGUCAUCGAAAUUUUGAACGCAUAUUGCACUUCCGGGUUAGUCCUGGAAGUAUGCCUGUAUCAGUGUCCGUACAUUAAACUUGACUUUCUUCCUUCCGUGUAGUCGGUGGAGGAGAUGUCAGAUGUGAAGUGUCUUGCGAUUGGUCUUCGGACCGGCUGCGAGUCCUUUUAAAUGUACUAAACUGAACUUCUCUUUGCUCGAAAAGUGGUGGCGUUGCUGGUUGUGAAGGCUGCUAUUGUGGCAAAUUGGCGACUGGUUUGUCUGCUGCGGCGUUAAUGGAAGAGUGUUCGAUUCGUGGUAUGGUUGGCUUCGGCUGAACAAUGCACUUAUUGGACGUUUUUCCUGCUGUGGCGUGAUGGACUGGUGAACCAUAGCUCGGUGGCUUGGCUUUUGAAUUGGCUUUGCUGUUGCGAAGUAGGGUGGCAGCUUCGGUUGUCGAGGGUCGAUCCAUUUGGGAACUUAAUGUGUACUUCGGUAUGCAU